UUUGGCUGGUGGGCAUCCCUGAUCAGAUACAGUUUAUCUGAUGGCCCGAUCCCCGAGGGGUAAACUGAGGAAGCUGCCAAGCUGAGAGGAAUAGAGUCACAGAGAAAACAGGUGCCACGCCAGGCAGCCUGCCUCUCUCCUUUCUUUCGAUGCUCGUGACAGCCCAGUGAGGUGAACCCAGUUGUUAUCCCGCUUUACAGCACCUGUGUCUGCCGCACAGCAGGAGCUCACUAAGCGUUUGACGAAUGAAUAAAGGAGUGACUGGACAAGCGAACGAAUGAACGACCUUCCGUGCUCUGUCUCAGUCCCAGGGGUUCAGGGACCAUUAAUUUUUUUAUGGACGAUCAAACCCGGAUAGAGUGGAAGGACCACCGCACACGGCUGAUUCCAAAACAGUAACCAAGGCACCAGGGACGAACACCUGGGGGUCAACCAGGAGAGGAGACAUGGCCGUGGAGCUGGCCUGGGCUCUGGAUGCUGGGAGGAGGGGAAGCCCCUGCGUGUCCAGGACACACACGCCCCUGCCCCCCACUCACUGGACAGCCUUCGCAGAAGGAGGAGCAGCAGGAGGUGACAGCUCCCCAAGGGAGCCCGCUGCAGAAGUCAGGACCCCUGGGGUCCUCCCUCGCCCCUGGUGGCCAGUUCCCCUCCACUCCAGGCCUCUUCUCUCCCAUCUGUCCAUUGCAGGGUGGGCCUAGAGGUGGACAAAGAAGAGCAG
rnacentral:lncRNA from 1 species